rfam:Asian citrus Psyllid, Diaphorina citri - Florida Strain, whole genome shotgun sequence.
GUUCCCAUGGCGUAGUGGUCACUGCACUCGCCUUGCACGCGGGAGACCCGGGUUCGAUUCCCGGCGGGGUCA